GACGAACGCUGGCGGCGUGCUUAACACAUGCAAGUCGAACGGAAAGGCCCUGCUUUUGUGGGGUGCUCGAGUGGCGAACGGGUGAGUAACACGUGAGUAACCUGCCCUUGACUUUGGGAUAACUUCAGGAAACUGGGGCUAAUACCGGAUAGGAGCUCCUGCUGCAUGGUGGGGGUUGGAAAGUUUCGGCGGUUGGGGAUGGACUCGCGGCUUAUCAGCUUGUUGGUGGGGUAGUGGCUUACCAAGGCUUUGACGGGUAGCCGGCCUGAGAGGGUGACCGGCCACAUUGGGACUGAGAUACGGCCCAGACUCCUACGGGAGGCAGCAGUGGGGAAUAUUGCACAAUGGGCGGUAGCCUGAUGCAGCAACGCCGCGUGCGGGAUGACGGCCUUCGGGUUGUAAACCGCUUUCGCCUGUGACGAAGCGUGAGUGACGGUAAUGGGUAAAGAAGCACCGGCUAACUACGUGCCAGCAGCCGCGGUGAUACGUAGGGUGCGAGCGUUGUCCGGAUUUAUUGGGCGUAAAGGGCUCGUAGGUGGUUGAUCGCGUCGGAAGUGUAAUCUUGGGGCUUAACCCUGAGCGUGCUUUCGAUACGGGUUGACUUGAGGAAGGUAGGGGAGAAUGGAAUUCCUGGUGGAGCGGUGGAAUGCGCAGAUAUCAGGAGGAACACCAGUGGCGAAGGCGGUUCUCUGGGCCUUUCCUGACGCUGAGGAGCGAAAGCGUGGGGAGCGAACAGGCUUAGAUACCCUGGUAGUCCACGCUGUAAACGGUGGGUACUAGGUGUGGGGUCCAUUCCACGGGUUCCGUGCCGUAGCUAACGCUUUAAGUACCCCGCCUGGGGAGUACGGCAGCAAGGCUAAAACUCAAAGGAAUUGACGGGGCCCCGCACAAGCGGCGGAGCAUGCGGAUUAAUUCGAUGCAACGCGUAGAACCUUACCUGGGUUUGACAUGGAUCGGGAGUGCUCAGAGAUGGGUGUGCCUCUUUUGGGGUCGGUUCACAGGUGGUGCAUGCCUGUCGUCAGCUCGUGUCGUGAGAUGUUGGGUUAAGUCCCGCAACGAGCGCAACCCUUGUUCACUGUUGCCAGCACGUUAUGGUGGGGACUCAGUGGAGACCGCCGGGGUCAACUCGGAGGAAGGUGGGGAUGACGUCAAGUCCUCAUGCCCCUUAUGUCCAGGGCUUCACGCAUGCUACAAUGGCUGGUACAGAGAGUGGCGAGCCUGUGAGGGUGAGCGAAUCUCGGAAAGCCGGUCUCAGUUCGGAUUGGGGUCUGCAACUCGACCUCAUGAAGUCGGAGUCGCUAGUAAUCGCAGAUCAGCAACGCUGCGGUGAAUACGUUCCCGGG
rnacentral:rRNA from 1 species